rnacentral:rRNA from 1 species
CCUACGGGAGGCAGCAGUGGGGAAUAUUGGGCAAUGGGCGCAAGCCUGACCCAGCAACGCCGCGUGAAGGAAGAAGGCCUUCGGGUUGUAAACUUCUUUUAAGAGGGAAGAGCAGAAGACGGUACCUCUUGAAUAAGCCACGGCUAACUACGUGCCAGCAGCCGCGGUAAUACGUAGGUGGCAAGCGUUGUCCGGAUUUACUGGGUGUAAAGGGCGUGCAGCCGGGAAGACAAGUCAGAUGUGAAAUCCCGCGGCUCAACCGCGGAACUGCAUUUGAAACUGUUGGUCUUGAGUACCGGAGAGGUCAUCGGAAUUCGUGGUGUAGCGGUGAAAUGCAUAGAUAUAAGGAAGAACACCGAUGGCGAAGGCAGAUGACUGGACGGCAACUGACGGUGAGGCGCGAAAGCGUGGGGAGCAAACAGGAUUAGAUACCCCAGUAGUC